rnacentral:tRNA from 1 species
CUCAGUUGGUAGAGCAGA